rnacentral:lncRNA from 1 species
UGGGUGAGUGAUUUUGUGAGUUUGGGNUUAGAAGUAGUUUNUGACCUAUUGGACCAUUUGGGCAGGUCAAUUAUGACUUGUUGAGAGCCUUAAACNAGCCAAAAACACUUUGCACCUAGUAGAUUUGAUUUUGACCUCUCAAGUAGAGGAAAUUGAGUUAUUAAAUCUAAAUUCUUUGNAUAGUUGCUAAGGAUUCGUGUUAGGAUCAAGGGAAAACAUUCAAACAAGUUAGAUUUGGCCUAUAUUUCGAGUUAGGAGUGUCCAAAGUUCACCAAAAGGCCUAAAACGAAACUUAGGGGGUAGAGUUGCUCAAUUAUGCAGAAAAAUCUNCAUAAUUCACGCCGGGCNCCCAAAAAGGGCGUUGGGCGCCAUUUCGUGCUGUUUUCCANNAGAAAUUCACGUUGGGCGCCCCUAAAUGGCGCUGGGCGCAGGUUUCUGCUGUUGCUUUUGUUUUUGAUAGUUUGGGGGGUUCCGGAUGUCCGUUUUGGACGUUCUUUAGGUCGUUUUGGGGGUUUUAGACCCUUCCGGAGCCGUUGGUGAUGGUUUCGGAACCGUUUGAAUUACUUAAGUAUAGGUAAUUAUAGUUGAUAAAGAAAUUGGUAUUAAUAAAUGAUGUUUCUGUGAAAAUAUGUAAUGUAUGACUUAUUUCUAGCAUUGUAUAAUUCUUUUUAGUAUUGUAUGAGUUAAUUAUGUAGGAUUUGUAUGGAAUUGAAUCAAUCUAACCCCA